rnacentral:rRNA from 1 species
GACGAACGCUGGCGGCGUGCUUAACACAUGCAAGUCGAACGGAAAGGCCCUGCUUUUGUGGGGUGCUCGAGUGGCGAACGGGUGAGUAACACGUGAGUAACCUGCCCUUGACUUUGGGAUAACUUCAGGAAACUGGGGCUAAUACCGGAUAGGAGCUCCUGCUGCAUGGUGGGGGUUGGAAAGUUUCGGCGGUUGGGGAUGGACUCGCGGCUUAUCAGCUUGUUGGUGGGGUAGUGGCUUACCAAGGCUUUGACGGGUCGCCGGCCUGAGAGGGUGACCGGCCACAAUGGGACUGGGAUACGGCCCAGACUCCUACGGGAGGCAGCAGUGGGGAAUAUUGCACAAUGGGCGGAAGCCUGAUGCAGCAACGCCGCGGGCGGGAUGACGGCCUUCGGGUUGUAAACCGCUUUCGCCUGUGACGAAGCGUGAGUGACGGUAAUGGGUAAAGAAGCACCGGCUAACUACGUG